CCUACGGGAGGCUGCAGUGAGGAAUAUUGGUCAAUGGACGAGAGUCUGAACCAGCCAAGUAGCGUGAAGGAUGACUGCCCUAUGGGUUGUAAACUUCUUUUAUAAAGGAAUAAAACGAGGCACGUGUGCCUUUUUGCAUGUACUUUAUGAAUAAGGAUCGGCUAACUCCGUGCCAGCAGCCGCGGUAAUACGGAGGAUCCGAGCGUUAUCCGGAUUUAUUGGGUUUAAAGGGAGCGUAGAUGGGUUGUUAAGUCAGUUGUGAAAGUUUGCGGCUCAACCGUAAAAUUGCAAUUGAUACUGGCAGUCUUGAGUACAGUUGAGGUAGGCGGAAUUCGUGGUGUAGCGGUGGAAUGCUUAGAUAUCACGAAGAACCCCGAUUGCGAAGGCAGCUUACUAAACUGUGACUGACAUUGAUGCUCGAAAGUGUGGGUAUCAAACAGGAUUAGAUACCCCAGUAGUC
rnacentral:rRNA from 1 species